rnacentral:lncRNA from 1 species
ACAAGUCCCUCAUUGUCUCCUUCUUCAAUAUUGAGCACAGAACCCUUUCCUUUAUCAGUUCCUUUAUUAAACCACUGAGUUAACUGAGCCAUCACACUCCCUUGAGACUCCAUCAUUUUGUCUAUCAUCUUUUGCUGCUCAUUCAUUUGCUUUUGAAGCAGCUCCUGCAUUUCCUUUUGGGUUUGUUCUAAUCUUUCCAUUAUUUGAUC